UCCACGGCGAGGUGGAAUCUGAAGGAAGCUGGCGGCAAAACUCCGCCCCGAUGAACACGAAUCUCAUCAGGCAUAUCCAACGGGAUGAGUCUGCCAUACAAGACAAAGUCCAAAGAUUACACGGACGUUCGCAUGUAGAUGAGGCGGGGACAUGGAGUGAAAGUGUGUUAGC
rfam:Nitritalea halalkaliphila LW7 Contig78, whole genome shotgun sequence.